rnacentral:piRNA from 1 species
GUUGCCCCAGGGAACCAGGGCCCUGCAG